CAGUUGAGCGAGAUAAGUUGUAGCAAUACGGCUUUGAAAGCGGCGCACGGGUGCGUAACACGUAUGCAACCUACCUUUUACUAAGGAAUAGCCUCUCGAAAGAGAGAUUAAUACCUUAUAACAUGUUUUGAAGGCAUCUUCAGAACCUUAAAGCUCCGGCGGUAAAAGAUGGGCAUGCGGUUGAUUAGCUAGUUGGUGAGGUAAUGGCUCACCAAGGCUUCGAUCAAUAGGGGGUCUGAGAGGAUGUCCCCCCACACUGGUACUGAGACACGGACCAGACUCCUACGGGAGGCAGCAGUAGGGAAUAUUGGACAAUGGGCGCAAGCCUGAUCCAGCCAUGCCGCGUGCAGGAUGAAGGCCCUAUGGGUCGUAAACUGCUUUUGUACGGGAAGAAACCUCACUACGUGUAGUGAGUUGACGGUACCGUGAGAAUAAGGAUCGGCUAACUUCGUGCCAGCAGCCGCGGUAAUACGAAGGAUCCAAGCGUUGUCCGGAUUUACUGGGUUUAAAGGGUGCGUAGGCGGACUUUUAAGUCAGUGGUGAAAGCUCGCAGCUUAACUGUGAAAUUGCCAUUGAAACUGAAAGUCUCGAGUGUGGUUGAGGUAACUGGAAUAUAUCAUGUAGCGGUGAAAUGCUUAGAUAUGAUAUAGAACAC
rnacentral:rRNA from 1 species